rnacentral:piRNA from 1 species
UAGCAUUUUUUUGAAUCCACUGCCUUUA